rnacentral:rRNA from 1 species
UGGGGAAUUUUGGACAAUGGGCGAAAGCCUGAUCCAGCAAUGCCGCGUGAGUGAAGAAGGCCUUCGGGUUGUAAACCACUUUUGUCAGGGAAGAAACGGCCUGAUCUAAUACAUUGGGUUAAUGACGGUACCUGAAGAAUAAGCACCGGCUAACUUCGUGCCAGCAGCCGCGGUAAUACGAAGGGGGCUAGCGUUGCUCGGAAUUACUGGGCGUAAAGCGUGCGCAGGCGGUUUUGUAAGUCUGUCGUGAAAGCCCCGGGCUCAACCUGGGAAUUGCGAUGGAGACUGCAAGGCUUGAAUCUGGCAGAGGGGGGUAGAAUUCCACGUGUAGCAGUGAAAUGCGUAGAGAUGUGGAGGAACACCGAUGGCGAAGGCAGCCCCUGGGUCAAGAUUGACGCUCAUGCACGAAAGCGUGGGGAGCAAACAGGAUUAGAUACCCUAGUAGUCCCUGAGCGGGCUGGCAAGGCGCAU